rnacentral:ncRNA from 2 species
CUGUAAGGUUUGGGGAGCUAGGAUUUCCACCUGGCUGAGAGGAUAAAUAGGUUUUGUCGACCCAUAUAACCUGAACCAGAUAAUACUGGCGAAGGGAAAAACUUGAAAAGGCAAG